GGAAAGGCAUGCUAUCGGUGAAGCGAUUCAGUUGCUAUCUGGACGAAGAAAUUCUUAUAGGUUCGACUCCUAUUCUUUCCG